rnacentral:lncRNA from 1 species
AAAACAAGUGUAAACAAGUUGCAAAACUAAAAAGUGGACAAAAGUUGGAAGUGAAAUUCUAUAACAACCGUGCUGUUGGAAAGAAUCAUAAAGCAUUUUCAAGACAUUUGGGAAGAUUGUCCGUGAUCGCAAUAUUUGUCCUCUACGAGUGCACUCAUGGAAGGAAAUCGAUGAUGAAGAGAAGAAACAUAUGUGGGCCGCUGUGAUGGUAAUAUUUUUCAGUUUGAUAUUAAGUUGACUAUAUGAAUUACAUAGAAAUUUCAUACUUGAGGACUUAAUCUAGUAUUAUAUAUGCAGGCUAUAGUCCAUAGUCUAUUUUAUAUAUAUGCAGUCUAGUUUUUAUGAAUAAGAAUGCUGAAUGUAUAUAUGCAGUCUAGUAUUAUAUAUGCUGAAUGCUGAAUGCUGAAUGUAUAUAUGCAGUCUAUUUUGUAUAUAUGCAGUCUAUUUUGUAUAUAUGCAGUCUAGUUUUUAUAUAUUCAGUUUGAUAUGCAGUCUAUUUUGAAUAUAUGCAGCCUACUUCCUAUUAUAUAUAGGCUAUAGUCUAGUUUUUAUGAAUAAGAAUGUUGAAUGUAAAUUGCACAAAAUUAUUUAUAAUUUUGUCUAGUUAUUACAGAAUGAUGAAUGCAAACUAUAUAAAACUAAUUAUAAGUUGCACAAAGCUGUUUCGGGUUUUACGGUCAUCUAAUUAUUAGGUUUCACUUUCUAUCCUUCGCAUUUAAAUAUACUUAUACAUAUGGUUUUGGUAUGUGCAUAACUUUUAGGACAAAUUUAAGCAUGAGAAGAUGGAGGAUUAUCGUGAUGAAAUCUUGGCUCAUAUGAAUGAUUUGUGGAAUAAGUGGAGGGGGGAUUUGCAUCGCAAAUUUGUAAAGCCUUGUAAGACUAUACAAGAAACUCUAAAACAAAUUCCUGAAGGUGUUGAACGAGGAGAUUGGGAAUGGCUGGUUAAAGAGCAUUUUUCAAGUGAAAAAUUUAUGGUAUGUUGUACUUUAUUUUGUGUGACAAUUGCUUUAUUUUUAUACUUUACCUUAAUAGUUUUCUAUUGUUACAUUCUACAUCUUAAAAUAUAGACAGCAAUAAAGAAACUCAACAAUAGCGCAAAAUUAAGUAUGCCUCACCGUACAGGUAGUAAGCCAAUUCGACACAGUUAUUGUGAAAAAGGUACUCAAGAUCUUACAUUAUACUCAUUUUAUAAAAUUUGUGAAUGAUGAUGAAAUUUGUUGAUGUUACUUGUUUAUCUUAAAAGGGAGGAAAAGUUCAACCACAAGCUUAGCGACUAUAUUUUUUUGAGACAAGAAAAGGUUGACAAGCUAGUUGAACAAGAACAAUUAGCAGAUAUGUAUGUCUUACAUAUUUAUUUUGUUAUACUCAUUCUCUUAAUAGAUACUCAAUUUUCUAUACUUAUUUGCAUUAUUUGUAGGUAAAAUUUUGAAGUUACACAAGCCAGCCCUCUUAUCCAACAUGAACUAGUGAAAAGUGCUUUGGGCGCAACGUCAUGAUCAUGUCGUUUGCUAUGGUGUCGGGUUAAACCUAUGCUAUGAGGACUCUAGUGGCUCUAAGGUAGUGAGCUUCAAGCUAAACUUCGUGAAAGUCAAAGAGAAAAUCAAUCACUCAGGAAUCGCAUGGAUGAAAUGGAAAAUAGAAGUAAGAAUGAUUAAGGAAAUGCUCAACGUCAACAAUCAAACACCCUCCACCUCCAUCAAAUGGGCAAUCAAUAUGAUCGUACUUAAGUGAGUCGGAAUUUCAAACCAAACAUGAUUUGCCUUAUUUCUUUACUCUAUGAAUCUUCUCUAUUUUUCUUAAAAUGUUGAUAUUGAUAUUUAAUGAGAGAUUCAAUAUUAGAGAAGAUAGUUUUCUUCUUUACUCCACUACUAAAGUAUAGGAUCUUUGCAAACUUGUUGGGUUUAUUCAUCAUUUAAUAUCAAUUUAGUGAUAUUGCAAACUUCUUGGGUUAUUCAUGCAUUUAAUAUCAGUUUAGUGGAAAUUGCAAGCUUUAUAAAGAUGGUCACAAAUUGUUAAUUUAUAUACAGUUGUUACUUAUGUUUAUUAAAGAUAAUUUGCUUUUAGAAUGAUAAUUUGCUUAUUUUCUUUACUCGAUAAAUUUUAUAUAUUUUUUUGUUGAACUAUUAAAUUGUUCUAAUGUUUGUAAUUUUCUUUGUAGUAGUCUGCAGAAGUUUGGGCAAGAAUUGGCUAGUAUAGUAGUGAAGUGCAAGCCUGCAGCAUUUGGUGCAAGGAAUAUGGCUAGUAGAUGAAGUGCAAGCUAUGAAGUUAUGAUACUUUUUUGGCUUCUUUUUGAAAAUACGAUGAAUUACUAAUUUCAUUGUAACUUUUGGUAAAUAAUUAUAUAUAUAAUGCUACAUAUGUUGGUGACCUUCACACAUGUAUGUAUGAAUAAUUCAAAACUAUUGUUAAUUGUGAAUGCUACUAGUAAUAUUAUUAAUGAAAUACUAUUCUAAUUUGAAAAUGAUUCUAAUUCGUUUGUUGAUAAUUUGGGUUUUACAUAUUUUGAUGUGAAAGAAGAUCAUGUAGUUUAAAUAAAUAGCAUCCUGAAUCAUGAAAUCAUCGAAAUAAUUUUGUUUUUAGCCGACAGAAAUUGGUCGUUAUAAUAUUGCUUUAAAAUUAAUUAUUAAAUGGGAUAUUUUUGUUAGCGACGGAAAAGUUGGUCGCUAUUGCAUGCUAGUUAUUGGUAAAAUUACAAUGCUAAAUCUCAACUGCGUCGCUAAGAUUGGUCGUUACUUUAUAAUUUUUUGGUCAUUAAUACUACUCAUUAACGACGGGAAGGUUCCUAUCAGCUUUUGUUACUAACGACGGUUACAUUGAUCAGGUCGUUAAUGCAUUUAACGAAGGAAGCAAUAACGACGGUUGACGACGGUUUUCAUGACCGUUGUUACUGUGUUUUAACGACAGGAAAUAAAUCUAUAACGACCGUUUUUCCCUUCUUUAUAUAUAAUAUUUCUUGUAGUGUACGAAACAUCAAGCGGCAUCAUCUACUACUCGAUAUCCCCCACAGAAUCAAAAUAAAAAUCAAGUGAGUUGAGUACCUCGAGGGAACCGGACUUCUAAGCCGCAACGUCAAGUUCGACCAUACCCACAUGCAAACCGAAAUUUAAAGUCUCAUCGACAAUUCCAACCGAAGCUUCAAGCAACGAAACGACCAACGGUUGAUCCAAAAUCAAAACAAGGUGUACCUAACGUCGACAAGCCAAGACAAUCAACAAUCCGACAAGUGUGGAUCCGGAAAGGUGAUAUCUUUCCUUGCUCUUUGUCUUAGUUUGUUUUAUUGUUUAUGUAAUGCUUUGAUUGGUGCUUAUUACAUAUUUUUAUUCAUUACAUUACAUGUUUGGACGAUUUUUGGUGCUUGAAUUUUUUUUGUUUAAAAAUCGUUUUGAGUAAAGGUGUUUUUGGAAUUUAAAAAUUGUGAGAAAGGAGAUGAUUGAAAAUCAUUAUUUUGGAGAAAUUAAAAUUUUCAAAGUACUUUAAACGGUAUUUAACUUCACAUUCAUAUUAAGUUAAAUUCAUAUUAAUUAUCGGUUUUACUCCACCUUUUAUUAUUUUGACGAUAAUUUAUUAUAUGAAUUCUUAAUACAUAUAUUCAUCAAAAUUUUGAAAUAAAAUUUGAUCUCUUGGUGAUUAAUUCAUCUUGGUUGUGUGUGUUGGAUUUGAUUGAUGGAUAUUCGCUAGUGGACCAAAAUUUGUCAAAAUUAUUUUCAAUUGUGAGAUUGUCUAAUUUAGGGAGAGUUUGAAUUAUUAAAAAAAAAUGAAAAGAAGAAAAAAGAUACUUCUACAUUUAAAAGAUGUGGAAAGAGUUACAUCCAAAAAGAAGUGUGAAAACUACCACCACGUGUAUGAAAGAGCUACCACCCCGGUCGUCUGGUAAGUGUGUGAAGCUACCACAUGAAAAUUAUUUAAAUAACCGAAAAGGUUGAAAAAAAUUGAAUAUAUUAGAAUUUUCGGAGGUAUAAGGUGGUAGGAUGAAAAGAUGCUCAAAGAGCCUCCCCCGGUGCCGUAUUAGUUAAAUCUCUAUUUUGAACGAGUUGCGACAAAUUGGUGUCAAUAUUGUUGAAUUUCGAAAAAUUAUUUUUCAUCAACUUACAUCUUGAUGGUUUUGAAUCAUUAGAUUAUUUUCGAUAACAAAUUUUGAUGUUUCGAUGUAUUUUGAAAUCUUAUAAUAAUUUAUUUUCAUCAUAAUGAUUUUUGGAGUACAACUUUUAAUUCUUAUGGAAUUAAUUUGAUUUUGAAGGAUUUUUUAGGAAAAAAUUCACAAUUUUCGAAAUCUGGCAAUAUGUACCGGUACAAAUCACUGUGCCGCGUUUUUUAUAACCGGUCACAGGGUUUUGUUUUCUCUCAAAUCUAUAUCAAAUCACUCCCUUUCUCUCUCUAAAAAUCUCCAGCACCAUUCUCCUUCAGAUCCACGUGUUUUCCUCCAAGAUCUGUAAGUAUUCAGGGUGCAUUUAAUCAUCUAAUCCCGGUUUUGCAUAUUUUUCAAAACUUUCCAGGUUGAAGCAAGAUCUCUAUUCUUAACCAUUUUUAAUGCAAUUUUCUGCUGUGAAUCAGUUUUUAGACAUAUAUUCUUGCUUUUAGAACACUUAGAUCAUGUUAUAAUGCCUUAUUUUUUGUUGAUCUAUGAUCUGUACCUCAUUAUACAUGGAAUUUCGGGAUUUUUGUUGGAAUGUCCUUUUUUGAUGAAAAAUCUUGCUUGGAUUUGUUAGAAAUAGUGGUGUUAUACAUUCUAAUAUUAUUAGAAAAUUUUUCACUAUUUUUACAGAUUUUUAUUGAAAUUUUGGUCAUGCAAGGUUAUUUUUUGUAUAGGAAAAAUGGCAUUUUCGCUCGUGUUGCUACUUUUGGUGCUGAUGGCCACUCGUCGUGGUCGUGGUGGUGGUCGAGGCUAUCACGCCCCGGGACUGAUACCAAUUUGGCCGGCCCGAACACGUCAAACAGACGCCGAACGGACAGAGUUUUUUCUGUCCGCCCAAGGCUCAUCACCUGUACAUUUUCAAACAAGAAGUGCACUAGCGGAAACAUACACAAACGGCUUACACGAGGGUAAGCAACAGCCAUGAGUGAAAGUAAGGAAAAUAAACAUCUACACAAGUACUAUGAUUCACUUUUGAUCACAUACAUGUAUCCAUUUCAUCCAACUUGUACAUUCAUAAAGUCUUUACAUUUCAUUACAUCACUUGCAUCAUUUCCUUUUACAUCACAUUGCCUCAAAAUAAAACUUUACAUUCUUUUCUUUCUUUGCUUUAUACAUAAACAUCUUAAAUCAUCAAUACAAAAGAUGAUAAAAGGGUAUACAACUAACAAAAUGUAAAGCCCGACUCGGGUGGCCACUGUCUAGGGUGCGAUACCUUUACCGCGGUCGCUCGCCGGCUCGCUCGGUUCCGGCUCUGUGGAAUAGUGGGGUGAGAACUACAACAAAGUUUCCAGUAGGUUCGGCUCCAAUCUCACCGAUUUUUCCACUAGGACUAACUCAGGCAUAAUAGAAAGGAUAAGCAUAAUAGUAACCAAACUAUAAUCAUGAUGCUAAUAUGCCUGAACAAUAAAGCAAGAAGUAUGCUCAACGUAAAUCAUGCAAGUAUGUAAGUUCUUUGUUCUUUACUCUUUAUUCUUUAAUCUUUGUUCUUUGUUCUUUAAUCUCACGACUAACCCGGGAGUUUCGCCACAUUAACUUGCCCACAUUAAGUCCAUCAUCGCGGGCCCUCAGCUGCCUCCCGCUAAGACCGUCCUCGGGUUUACUCCAACCCGUGAUGCAAAACUCCGGAGCGCAUCGCUCGAGGGGGAGCGACCGCCCUCAAGCACGGAACUCAUAGCAAGUAUGAUCGAUCCUUAACUCUAAGGAUAUAUGGUUCAAUCAUUGUCUUUACACUAAUUCUAGUGUUCUUUAUAUCACUUUAUUUUGCUAACUCUAGCAAUCAUUGUUCUUUAACUUUACUCGUUCUUUAUGCCACUUUCAUUUUCUUUUCUUGUCUCUAAUCAUUAUCAUUGUUCUUUGCGUCGCAUUUCUCUUUGAUGCCACACACACUAACUCUAGUGUCACUUUACUUUAUAUUAUCGAAUGCCACUCGAUCUAUGUUUUAUUGUGUCACUUGUUCUUUCAUCUCAUUUGGGUGCUCACAUUACAUCUCAUGCAUACAUAUAGGGUUGAAUAGGUUCUCUAACAUUUCAAAUAGCACGUGUACUCACAUCAUGCAACAUUCACAUAUAUAACAUCUCAUCUACCCUAUAAUGCAUGCAACAAUAUAAACAUAUGCUCAAUUGAAUGACACAUUAGGCAUAGAAGGAAUUCCAAUAAGUUUGGAUAGCACCACCCACCUCGUAGGCGUACUAGGAUGCUACAAUGAUUUUCUUGGAAUUUUUAGACUCCUAGUUCGUCACCUGCGGCAAAACGAAGCCCUAUUAGGCCAUUUUAUUCAUAUCUUUAUAUUGGCUUUUUGCAACGUCAAUCCGAGCGCACCAACUCAUCGGAAAUACCCCCAAUUAGGUUUCUAGAGGGUCAAUUUCAUUUUAGAACCCUUACAAGCAAAAGCCCCAAUUUGGGUGUCCUAGCUCAUAACAUAUAUCAAACCUAGGGUUUGAUCUCAUUAGGAAGCAAAAGAAGCUUCAAUCUACUCUAGAGACUCCAUAAAAACCAUCCUUAGCUCAAUCAAAACCCAUUUUGGGGUUUCACCAUGAGAGGGGUUGAAGCUUACCUUCAAGCUUCACCAUCUCCAUCCAAUCCAUUGUUUGAUCUCUAAAAGAAGCAAAAGAUAGCUCCAAAUAUUCUAAAGGUUCUAUAAAAACCAUUCUUAGCUUAAUCCAAACCCUAGUUUGGAUUCUACCAUGAAUAGCGUUCAAGCUUACCUCUAAGCUUGCUCCUAUGUUGCUCCAAAGAGGAAGAAGAGGAGGUAGCUUCAUUCCUUGGUUCAUUCCUUGGCUUCUUCUUCACCUUCUUCUUCUUCUUCUUCUUCUUCUUCUUCUUCUUCUUCUUCUUCUUCCUUCUUUUUCUUGUCUUCUUCUUCUCCUUCUUGUCUUCUAGAGAGAGAAAGAGAGGUGAGAGGGUGUGAGAGGGAGAGAAUGAGAGAAAUAUCUCGUAUCCCCUCUCAUUUCACUCUAUGGGUUGCAUAAUUGCAAUUAGGUCCCUCAGCUUUUAUUUUAUUAAACUGCUUGAACUGGGCAGUUUUCGGGUUCGAGGACCGGUCCCAGAAGGCUCUCCCGCAGCACAGCGGGGGCUUUCGCACGAGGCAACCGGUCUCUCCCAGGGAGACCGGUCUCUCGGGGACCGGUCUCUCCCCGCAGGGACCGGUUCCCGAGAGCUGGUUUUCUGGGACUUAGCCAAUUUUUCAGCCUUCUCAAUUUUCACGCGUUCGGGGACCGGUCUCUCCCACCAGGGACCGGUCCCCGAGAGCACAAAAACUGCAUUUUGCAUAUUUUUGAUUAUUUCGCUCUCGAAAACCUCCCACAAUGCACUUUUGAUCAUUUUAACACCUUCGGACUUUCCGAAGCGUACCAUCCUCGCACUCUGGUCAAUUUGACUAAAGUUCGAUAUUUAUUUUUCGAAUUUUUGGUAUAUUAUAUUCUCCACCCUUUAAAAUAAUUUCGUCCGCGAAAUUACGCAUAUCUUAACUCGUCGACUCAAACAAAUGCGGAUACUCUCUCCGCAUGGUCUCCUCGAGCUCCCAAGUGGCUUCUCGCACCGCAUGGUUGCUCCACUGAACCUUCACAUAUGGAAUUCUGCGACUCCGCAGCUUUAUUUCUUCUCGAUCGAGGAUGCACACCGUGUACUCCUCAUAAGACAUAUCCUCACGUAACUCCACGGGCUCGUACUCUAACACAUGUGUCGAGUUGCGAAUAUACUUUCGGAGAUUUGACACAUGGAAAAUAUUGUGAACUCCCGCGAGUCUCGGUGGUAGUGCGAGCUUGUACGCUACCGCACCCACACACUCCAAUAUCUCAAAUGGUCCGACAUAACGGGGGCUUAGCUUCUCACGGACCCCAAAUCGCUUUACUCCACGCAUCGGCGACACUCUAAAAAAUACACGGUCUCCAACCGCGAACUCUAAGUCCUUCCUCCGCAUGUCGGCAUAGCUCUUUUGUCGAGAUUGCGCCGUCACUAACCGUUGACAGGCAAAACGAACCUUUCUUCCGCCUCCCGUACCACAUCCGGACCAAGAGCCAUUCUCUCGCCCACGUCGCUCCAAUGGAUAGGAGAACGACACUUUUGACCAUAUAGUGCCUCAAAUACAUCCGGGUGGCAGUCCCGGUAACUCCACUGCGGGUAUUCGCACACUACUCGAAUAUCCCCCAACUCUGGGUAUUCCUUUCGAGCAUCUACCAUGGUUGCCAAAUAGGCCUUACACCCUCCUUUGAUUAUCUUCUUCGCCCUUACAGACAAUAUGGUCGCCGUGAAGCACCUACUUUUGCACGCUUGGUACACCAAUUCUUCUUGAUUAGGCUCACGAAAAGUGAUCACCUUACUUUCACAAUCUAUAACCGCAUAGUACUUGGAGAGCCAGUUGGUCCCCAAGAUAACAUCGAAUCCCUACAUCUAAUCUAGCACUAGCAGAUCAAUCGGCAUAAUCCAAUCGCCUAUUUGCACUGGACACGCCAAACACUCAUUAUGGACACUGAAUGAAUGUUCUGAGACGUUCACUCACCAAUAGUGCUCGUUUUAUGCCAUUUCUAUGCCAUGAGUUUGAGCAAAUGAUGCGCUAAUGAAUGAAUGAGAUGCGUCUGUAUCAAAUACUGCUCUAGCUCUAGUGCCUUUAAUCAACAAUUAUACCUGCCACGACGUCGUCGGGUGCUGCAGGUUGUUGCUCCUCUACCUGAGCGGCNACAUAUAGUUUAGUUGGUUUAUGUGGUUCAGUAAUUAUUUACAUUCGAAAAUGUGGAUUUCUGGAUUUGUAAAAUAAAAGGUUUUCUACCCCUCGUGGUAGCGUUUUUAAAAGAAUAAAGGUUUCUGUGUAGGAAACAGCUUUCAAAAAAUUUUUGUGGAUUUCUGUUUAUACUUUGAAUGUAAAACUGUGAUGUGAAUGGUGAAUGUAUGAAUGUAUAGUUAUCUUUAUAUUCAUCUGGUUGUGGUUGUAUCCUGAUUGUACUGUGUAUUUGAUCGACACCGUGCAAAUACAGGGGAGACUCUGUCCGUGUGAACAGUGGAUUUCCUGUAUUUGUGGCGGAUCUGGCAUACUCUGGGGUCAGAUUUUCAAAAAAAAAAAUU